UGGGGAAUAUUGGACAAUGGGCGAAAGCCUGAUCCAGCAAUGCCGCGUGUGCGAAGAAGGCCUUCGGGUUGUAAAGCACUUUUGUCAGGGAAGAAAUCCUUUGGGCUAAUACCCUAGGGGGAUGACGGUACCUGAAGAAUAAGCACCGGCUAACUACGUGCCAGCAGCCGCGGUAAUACGUAGGGUGCAAGCGUUAAUCGGAAUUACUGGGCGUAAAGCGUGCGCAGGCGGUUGUGUAAGACAGGUGUGAAAUCCCCGGGCUUAACCUGGGAAUUGCAUUUGUGACUGCACGACUAGAGUGUGUCAGAGGGGGGUGGAAUUCCACGUGUAGCAGUGAAAUGCGUAGAUAUGUGGAGGAACACCAAUGGCGAAGGCAGCCCCCUGGGAUAACACUGACGCUCAUGCACGAAAGCGUGGGGAGCAAACA
rnacentral:rRNA from 1 species